GAUGAACGCUGGCGGCGUGCUUAACACAUGCAAGUCGAACGAUGAAGCCCAGCUUGCUGGGUGGAUUAGUGGCGAACGGGUGAGUAACACGUGAGCAACCUGCCCCUGACUCUGGGAUAAGCGCUGGAAACGGCGUCUAAUACUGGAUACGAACAAGAAUCGCAUGGUUACUUGUUGGAAAGAUUUUUCGGUUGGGGAUGGGCUCGCGGCCUAUCAGCUUGUUGGUGAGGUAAUGGCUCACCAAGGCGUCGACGGGUAGCCGGCCUGAGAGGGUGACCGGCCACACUGGGACUGAGACACGGCCCAG
rnacentral:rRNA from 1 species